rnacentral:misc_RNA from 3 species
AACGCACAUUGCGCCCCGUGGUAUUCCGCGGGGCAUGCCUGUUCGAGCGUCAUUUCAACCCAUCAAGCUUCGGCUUGGACUUGGGGCCUGCGGUUUCGCAGCCUCUAAACCCAGUGGCGGUGCUAUUGAGCUCUGAGCGUAGUAAUUUUUCUCGCUAUAGGGUCUCGGUAGUUACUUGCCAGUAACCCCCAAUUUUUAUCAGGUUGACCUCGGAUCAGGUAGGGAUACCCGCUGAACUUAA